rnacentral:rRNA from 1 species
UUAAAUUGAAGAGUUUGAUCAUGGCUCAGAUUGAACGCUGGCGGCAGGCCUAACACAUGCAAGUCGAACGGUAACAGGAAGAAGCUUGCUGUUU